CAUAUGAGUAUCCCUAGGUUUGGUGUUGCUUUGGGACUAUAUACUGAGGAGUUUAUGAGUACCGAGAAUUUCUUCUGCCUAUAUCGGCACAUCCACUACUUUCCAUCUAGUUGUUGGGUAGAUCUUACGAUGAGUACGACACCUUAUGACGUGAGUCACUCGAAGGCGACUUCUCUCCCUCCGGCUUUAUGGUAUAUUAAUGCCCUUUUAGCUCAUGCUUUGACCGGUAGGAGAGAGAGUAUUGGAGUUGUCAGUACCACCGAUGCAUAUUUUUUAUAGAGCAUAGCCACC
rnacentral:lncRNA from 1 species